rnacentral:rRNA from 1 species
AUGAACGCUAGCUACAGGCUUAACACAUGCAAGUCGAGGGGCAGCAUGGUCUUAGCUUGCUAAGGCCGAUGGCGACCGGCGCACGGGUGAGUAACACGUAUCCAACCUGCCGUCUACUCUUGGACAGCCUUCUGAAAGGAAGAUUAAUACAAGAUGGCAUCAUGAGUCCGCAUGUUCACAUGAUUAAAGGUAUUCCGGUAGACGAUGGGGAUGCGUUCCAUUAGAUAGUAGGCGGGGUAACGGCCCACCUAGUCUUCGAUGGAUAGGGGUUCUGAGAGGAAGGUCCCCCACAUUGGAACUGAGACACGGUCCAAACUCCUACGGGAGGCAGCAGUGAGGAAUAUUGGUCAAUGGGCGAGAGCCUGAACCAGCCAAGUAGCGUGAAGGAUGACUGCCCUAUGGGUUGUAAACUUCUUUUAUAAAGGAAUAAAGUCGGGUAUGGAUACCCGUUUGCAUGUACUUUAUGAAUAAGGAUCGGCUAACUCCGUGCCAGCAGCCGCGGUAAUACGGAGGAUCCGAGCGUUAUCCGGAUUUAUUGGGUUUAAAGGGAGCGUAGAUGGAUGUUUAAGUCAGUUGUGAAAGUUUGCGGCUCAACCGUAAAAUUGCAGUUGAUACUGGAUAUCUUGAGUGCAGUUGAGGCAGGCGGAAUUCGUGGUGUAGCGGUGAAAUGCUUAGAUAUCACGAAGAACUCCGAUUGCGAAGGCAGCCUGCUAAGCUGCAACUGACAUUGAGGCUCGAAAGUGUGGGUAUCAAACAGGAUUAGAUACCCUGGUAGUCCACACGGUAACGAUGAAUACUCGCUGUUUGCGAUAUACUGCAAGCGGCCAAGCGAAAGCGUUAAGUAUUCCACCUGGGGAGUACGCCGGCAACGGUGAAACUCAAAGGAAUUGACGGGGGCCCGCACAAGCGGAGGAACAUGUGGUUUAAUUCGAUGAUACGCGAGGAACCUUACCCGGGCUUAAAUUGCAGAUGAAUUACGGUGAAAGCCGUAAGCCGCAAGGCAUCUGUGAAGGUGCUGCAUGGUUGUCGUCAGCUCGUGCCGUGAGGUGUCGGCUUAAGUGCCAUAACGAGCGCAACCCUUGUUGUCAGUUACUAACAGGUUCCGCUGAGGACUCUGACAAGACUGCCAUCGUAAGAUGUGAGGAAGGUGGGGAUGACGUCAAAUCAGCACGGCCCUUACGUCCGGGGCUACACACGUGUUACAAUGGGGGGUACAGAGGGCCGCUACCACGCGAGUGGAUGCCAAUCCCCAAAACCUCUCUCAGUUCGGACUGGAGUCUGCAACCCGACUCCACGAAGCUGGAUUCGCUAGUAAUCGCGCAUCAGCCACGGCGCGGUGAAUACGUUCCCGGGCCUUGUACACACCGCCCGUCAAGCCAUGGGAGCCGGGGGUACCUGAAGUGCGUAACCGCGAGGAGCGCCCUAGGGUAAAACUGGUGACUGGGGCU